rnacentral:rRNA from 1 species
UACCGAGUUUACAACUCCCAAACCCCUGUGAACAUACCUAUACGUUGCCUCGGCGGAUCAGCCCGCGCCCCGUAAAACGGGACGGCCCGCCCGAGGACCCCUAAACUCUGUUUUUAGUGGAACUUCUGAGUAAAACAAACAAAUAAAUCAAAACUUUCAACAACGGAUCUCUUGGUUCUGGCAUCGAUGAAGAACGCAGCAAAAUGCGAUAAGUAAUGUGAAUUGCAGAAUUCAGUGAAUCAUCGAAUCUUUGAACGCACAUUGCGCCCGCCAGUAUUCUGGCGGGCAUGCCUGUUCGAGCGUCAUUUCAACCCUCAAGCUCAGCUUGGUGUUGGGACUCGCGGUAACCCGCGUUCCCCAAAUCGAUUGGCGGUCACGUCGAGCUUCCAUAGCGUAGUAAUCAUACACCUCGUUACUGGUAAUCGUCGCGGCCACGCCGUAAAACCCCAACUUCUGAAUGUUGACCUCGGAUCAGGUAGGAAUACCCGCUGAACUUAAGCAUAUCAAUAAGCGGAGGAA